GUAGGUGGCAAGCGUUGUCCGGAUUUACUGGGCGUAAAGGGAGCGUAGGUGGAUAUUUAAGUGGGAUGUGAAAUACUCGGGCUUAACCUGGGUGCUGCAUUCCAAACUGGAUAUCUAGAGUGCAGGAGAGGAAAGUAGAAUUCCUAGUGUAGCGGUGAAAUGCGUAGAGAUUAGGAAGAAUACCAGUGGCGAAGGCGACUUUCUGGACUGUAACUGACACUGAGGCUCGAAAGCGUGGGGAGCAAACAGGGAUUAGAUACCCCGGUAGUCCACGCCGUAAACGAUGAAUACUAGGUGUAGGGGUUGUCAUGACCUCUGUGCCGCCGCUAACGCAUUAAGUAUUCCGCCUGGGGAGUACGGUCGCAAGAUUA
rnacentral:rRNA from 1 species